GUUCUUUAACCGCUGAGCCAGGGCAGGAACUCUCCCCAACCCUUUUUUCUUUUUUGGCCGCUCUGCGGCAUAUGGAGUUCCCAGGCCAGGGCUCGAACCUGUAUCCCAGAGCUUCCUAGACGCUGCCAAUCGCAUUGCACCACAGAGGGAACUCCCAGAGCUUGCAUUUUUAAUUGAUUCCCAGUUCCAGAGGCGGCAUAAUUUCUGCGGGCGGGGCAUCGCCCCCUGGCGGUCAGAUAUUUGGGCACUCUUCUUUAAGAUAAAGCGAGGACCCACUCCUCCCACGUUAGGAACCUUGAGUUAGAUUAUUUCCCAGUCUCUUCCCAUCAGCGCGUCAAGGAGCUCAUCAGAAAGAAGGGAAAAGGUGAAGGCGCGUGGGGUACUGGCUAAGCAUUAACUAGCUACCGGAAGCGGAUGCCUCCGGCACUUCCGCUCUAGCGCUGGACCAAUCACGGCCCAAGAGAGGGGCGUUUCCUGCGGCUUCGGGGCAGGACUUCCGGCCUCUACCUAUGGGACAUCCUUCCACGAGCGGAUGCUGGUUGUGCAGCGACCGCGUGGACUGAAACGCCGUUGUGGGGUCGUAUCUUUGGGGCGGGGCGGGGAGGGAGAGCGAGGUGGCGGGGACACCCACCGUGCCUUUCCGGAGCCCUGACGCCCGAGCCCCGGCUCAUUCUCUGUGACAGUGUGUCCCCGUCUGUGGGAGAGGCGAUCUUGGGCCUCGUCUUUGCCGGGCGCCGCCUGGGCACGUGCUCCGGGACCUCUUCCGCUUCUGUCGUCAAGGCCUCCGAAGGCAGCGUCUGCGGCCUUGCGAGAGUGUUGACAUCAUUCUAUAGCGCGGUUCGGGGUGCGGCACGCAGCCCGAGGUGACCCUGUCCUGGUCUCCUUCCUUUCAGGGCUCCAUUUAGCCCACUGUCCCGUUGCGGUAGCAGGUGCGGCAGCACUGAUGAAUCCGGCGCAGGGCUGCGUGACCUUCGAGGACGUGUUCGUGUACUUCUCCCGGGAGGAGUGGGAGCUCCUUGAAGAAGCUCAGAGACUUCUGUACCGCGACGUGAUGCUGGAGAACUUUGCGCUUGUGUCAUCGCUGGGACUUGCGGUUUCCAGGUCUCCCGGAGCUUCUGAGCUGGAGCCCGAGGGGAGCUCAGGGUACCUGAGAAGAUAGACACACAGCUCCAGUCACAGCAAAGCAGAAGGAGGAGGCCUGGCCCUGGUGAGCGGAAGGCUGUGUGCACGGCGUGGACCAUGUGGCUGCACCUUCCGAACUGGGAGUUGCUGGAAGAGCGUCACAGAUAAGAACUCUCAAGACAGGUCCUUCUGCCCGUGAGCCUCACCCCCGAGACAUGCGCAGCCCAGUCUUGAAAGACAUUUUUGCCCCUGGCUGAGCAACGUGGAGCACUAUCUGGGCGACACCCGUACUCCAGCAAGUGAGUCAUUUUGGGGAGACUUCUGUGCACUUGAAACCGUGACCAGAUGCAGAAGCAGCAGAGUGGAUCCUGCAGAAGGGACAGUCCAGGCCUCGUGUGUGAUGAGCUGCAUAUCCUGUAUAUCAGUGAAAGCCUUCGCUGGCAGGGAAGGUAGAGAAGCCACACUGGAGUAUCGGGAGGUGCUCUUCUGCCGGUGUCACUAAGAGGCCCCUUUGGAUGUUGGAUUCCUCAGAGGCGAGGAACGCGCAACCUGAGGCUGUAAAGCCUUGUGCUUCUCCGCUGCCCUGGUGGGAGGGCACGUCUCCAUGGUCAGUUGACUGAGGCACCAGGUUGGGGAACCAUUAGCGAUGCAGGGGUUGCUCAUGAACCCAGGGCUGCUUUCCCCCAAGGAGACUCUCGGCAGGACGAUGAGCUCUGAACCCAGGGCCAUGGGGCCGAUGAUAACCUGCGCUCCGGAGUUUGACGACAGUGAUUCUUCAGGAGAUGCUUUUCAUGAAAAGAGCUCACGCAGACCAGCUAGAGCUUCCAUGAGCUACACAGAAGCAUCUCUGCAAGUGGAAGAAAUGCGGGAAAGGGCUUAACAAACAUCACCGUGUUGUUGGACCUCAGUGGAUCGUGCCGGAGUGAGGCUGUUUUCCACCCCUGGCAAACAUACUUUGCUCUCAGAGCGAUCCGGUGACCUUCCUGUGACAGCUGCUUUUCCCGCAUCCCAUGAGGAUCCUCGCCGGAGAGGACCACUGAGGGCAGUGAAUGUGGCAAAGCCUCCAUUCACCCCUUUUGGUCAGGCCUGAAAGCAUCCACAUGGAGAAAAUCCCUCUGAGUACGAGACUAGCAGAGAGGAGUUGCCCUCAUGGCUCAGCGGCAAUGAGCUGGACUAGGAUCCAUGACAUGGGUUCAAUCCCUGGCCUCACUCUGUGGGUUAGGAUCUGGCGUGGCUGUGAGCUGUGGUGUAGGUCACAGACACGGCUCUUGUCCCUCUCUGCUGUGGCUAUGGCUGUGGCGUAGGCAGGCAGCUGUAGCUCCGAUGUGGCCCCUGGCCUGGUAGCUUCCACAGGCCGCAAAUGUGGGCCUAAAAAUAGGAGAGACCGCUUCGUGACAGCUCUUCCCUAACUCGGCACAUGAAGCGUUGCACUUGGGAGAAACCGUGUGAACAUAGCGAAUGCAGACGGUCCUUCGGCCUCUGUGCAUCCCUCCCUCAGCCUCAGCGUGUUCAACGUGGGGAGAAACCGUGAGUGGAGGGAUUGGGGGAGAGCCUUUUGCAAGUGGACUUACCUCAGUCAACAUGCGAGAACUCGUACUGGGGAAAGACUUUUUGAAUGUAACUCCUGGGGAACAUGUUCUGAUAGGACGAGACGUCUUGUCCAGCGUCUGAGAAAUUAUACCAAAGAGAGACCCUGUGAACGUCCUGGCUGUGAGACCAUCUCAGGCAGAUCAUCGUGUGUUGUCAUCUAGAGUUGUAUUGGAAAUGGACUUUGCUAGAAGAAUGUAUCAAGGACAGAGAACCAGUGGCUAUUGUGCAAUUUCAAAAAAAAAUUUUCAGCUCUAGCUCUACGCUUAGUAAAUACUAAAAAAGCGACCAUAGGACUAUUUUCUUUUCAUUGUUUCGGCCACACCGUAGCAUGUGGAAGUUCCCAGGCCAGUGAUCGAACCCACUCUGCAGUCGCGACCUUUGCCACAGCUGGAGCAACGCUGGACUCUUAACCCCCUGCCCCACGCGGGAACUUCCCACAGAAAUACUUAAAAAACAGAAACAAAGGAGGAAGAAGAGAAGAGAGGUACCAGGAAAAGAAACAUAUUCACGGCUUCUUUGGGGUUUCCCUGACAAUUACGGGUUGUUUUUGUUGUUGGGUGGCAGGGGCGGAAGAGUGCUUGAGAAGGAACACCUGAGUUCAUACACGCUCUGCCCUGCUGUGCCAGGUGAGCUGUACGCUUGAAGCAGCUCUGCAAACGUUUACUGAAUCCUGUGUUGGAAAACAUUGUCUCAGCUAUUCAGGAGCCUCAGUCUGUGUGCGAAAUGUCAAGUCCCGAUUUAUGAAACACUGGAAUUAGGAUGCCGAAAAUACUGUUGUCUAAAGUUAUAUCUAAAGAGAGAAGGACACACCUAUGAAUGAGUACUUUGGGGGCGCGGGGUGGGGGGGGCGCGCCCACGGUAUACAGAAACUCCCAGGCCAGGGGUCCAACCCCACACCACAGCAGUGAUCCAAACCGCUGCAGUGACAAUGCCAGAUCCUGAACCCACUGUACCCCGAGGAAACCCCAUGAAUGGGUACAAUUGACUGUACCACUUAAAAACCAUUUUCGGAGUUACCGUCGUGGCGCAGCGGAAAUGAAUCCAACUAGGAACCGUGAGGUUGCGGGUUCCAUCCCUGGCCUCGCUCAGUGGGUUAAGCAUCUGGCGUUGCCAUGAGCUGAGGUGUAGGUCGCAGACGCAGAUCAGAUCUGGUGGUUCUGUGGCUCUGGCGUAGGCUGGCAACUACAGCUCUGAUUAGACUUCUAGCCUGGGAACCUCCAUAUGUGUGGCCCUAAAAAGACAAAAACAAAACACCGUUUUUAAGGCUUCAUUUUUAUUUAUUUAUUCAUUGAUUCCUUCUUGAGAUAAUUAACGUGCAACUGUGUUAAUUUAAGAUGUACCACAUCAUUAUUUAGUGCAUUUAUGUGGCAGUAUGAUUGCUAUUGUAGCUUGAGCCUCUUGUGCCACAGAGUUGUCAUUUCUUGUGGUGGGGACAAAUAAGAUCUCGUGUCUUGGCAAGGUUAAUGUUUAUAAUGCAGUCUCGUUGUCUGUAAUCCCUGUCCUUUGUAUUAGAUCUCCAGGAAUUACUUGUCUCCGAGUCACAAGUGUGUACCCUGAAGCAAUAUCUCUCCCAUCCUCGCACCCCACCCUCAGCCUCUGGUAACCAUCAUUCCACUCUGUUUUCUCCAGUUCAGUGUUUGGUUUUGUUUUUUAGAUUCCACGCAUGAGGAUAUUAUACAAUAUUGGUCUUUCUCUGACUUACCUCACUUAGCAGAAUGUCCUCGAGAUCCAUCCGUGUUGUCACAAAUGGCAGGAUUUCCUUUUUUCUCAAGGCUGAGUAGUAUUGCAUUGUAUGUAUAAAUAGAUUUUUAUCCAUUCAUCUGUUGAUGGAUGGUUUCCAUUUCUUGGCUAUUAUGAACUCCAAUAAACCUGGAAGUACAUACAUACAUACAUAUAUAUAUAUACACCUUUGAUAACAUUUUUUUUUUUUUUUUUUGCUUUUUAUGACCGCACCUGCAGCAUAUGGAAGUUCGGAGGCUAGGGGUCAAAUCAGAGGUGUACCUUCUAGCCUCUGCCAUAACCACAACAGCACGGCAUCCAAGCCGUGUCUGCGACCUACACCACAGCUCAUGGCAACACUGGAUCCUUAACCCACCGAACAGGGCCAGGGAUCCUCAUGGAUACUGGUUGAGUAUCUUGCCACUGCACCGCAACAGAAACUCCUUUGAUUACCUAUUUUUAUUUCCUUUGCAUGUACAUGCAGAAGUGGGAUUGCUGGCUCAUGUGGUUCUAUUUUUAAUUUUUUGAAGAAACUCCAUGCUGUUCUUCAAAGUAGCUGGACCAGUUUACAGUCCCACCAAAGGGAUACCAGUGUCCCUUUUCUCUCUGUCAAUGCCGUUAUCUCAGUGAAAGCCAUUCUGUGUGUGUGUGUGUGUGUGUCUUUUUAGGGCUCAGCCGUGGCAUAUGGAAGUUCUCAGGCUAGGGGUCGAAUCGGAGCUGUAGCUGCCAGCCUAGGCCACAGCCACCGCAAUGGAGGAAUCUAAGCCAUGUCUGUGACCCACAGCACAGUUCCCGGCAAUGCCAGAACGUUAAUCCACUGAGCAAGGCCAGGGAUUGAACCCGCAUCCUCAUGGAUACUAGGGUUGGUUACUGCUGAGCCACUACAGGAACUCCAAUGAAAGCCAUUCUUAAUAGGCGGGAGGUGAUAUCAGUGUGGUUUGGGUUUGCAUUUCCCUGAUGAUUAGUGAUAUUAAGUACCUUUUCACGUACCUGUUGGUUGUUUGGAUGUUGUUGGGAAAAACUCUGUUUAGUUCACAGCCCAUUUUUUUUAAGCCACGCCCACAGUAUGUGAGCCUCCUGGGCCAGGGAUCGAACGCACAUCACAUCAGUGACCUGAGCCAUAUCCUUAGCUCGCUGCGCCACAGGUGAACUCCCCUCAGCCCACUUAAAAAAUCUAAUUUUUUUUCUUGAAUUGUAUGAAUUUUUUAUAAUUUUGGCUAGUAACCCCACAUCUGAUACAUGGUUUGCAUAUGUCUCCCAUGCUGUAGGUUGCCCUUUUAUUUUGUUUCUUUGGCAAAGCAGAUGCUUUGAAGUUUCAUUUCAUCUCAUUUGUUGAUUUUUUUUUCUUUUCUUGUUUAUGCUUUUAGUAUCAUAUUUAAAAAAUCAUUGCUGAGACCAGUGUCAGAGACCUGCGUUCUUAUCACAGCUUAUGUUUAAAUCUGUGAUCCAUUUCAAGUUGAUUUUUUCCCAAGUUAAUUUUUUGAGUGGUGUGAGAUAUGGGUCCUAUUUUAUUUUUCUGCAUGUGGUUAUCCUCCUUUCCCAAUAUCGUAUGUUUUCUUGCCUUUAUUUUUGUUUUUGUUUUGAUUAUUAUGGCAUUUAUUUUUUGCCUGCCCCCACAGCACAUAGAAGUUCCUGGGCCCAGGAUCAAACCAGGGCCACAGCAACAGCCAGAGCCAUAGCAGUGACAAUGCCAGGUCCUUAACCUGCUGAGCCACCAGGGAACUCCCCAACAUUUGUUGAAGAGACUUACUUUCUUCCCCCAUUGGAUGUUUUUGGCUUCUUUAUCAAAUACUAGUUGACUACAUAUAUGGGCGUUUAAUUCUGGCCUUUCUAUUCUCUUUCAUUGCUGUAUAUUUUGCGGGGGGGGGUUGGCGUUGCUCCUGUGGCAUGGAGAAGUUCCCAUGACAGGGAUUAAACCCACAUCACAUCAGUGACAACACUGAAUCGUUAACCACUGGGUCGCUGGGGAAGUCCUCUGCAUGUUUAUUUUUAUGCUGUACUAUACUGUUUUAUUUACUUUGUUUUUUAAGUGUAGUUUGGGAUCAGGAAAUGUGGUGCUUCCAGUUUUGUUCUUUCUUAUAAUUGAUCUGGUUAGUCAUGGUGUUUUUUUUUGGUUCCAUAUAAAUUUUUUUUUCUGGCCUUACCCUUGGCUUGUAGAAAUUUCCAGGCCAGGGAUCAAACCCAACCCACAGAAGCAACUGAGCCACAGCAGUGACCAUGCCAGGUCCUUAACCUGCUGAGCCACCAGGGGGCGCAGAACAAAAACCAACCCUCCCUUUACUCAUAUUGUAAAUGUCCAAGGCACUCACUUUUCUUGAUCCCAGUUUGUGUGUCUUAUUUUUCUGAAGCAUCUUGAUGAUCAUAUCACCGUCCUGUCUUCCCAGGUGAGUCCUGGUUCCUUCCUCUGAUUGGCUUUUUCACUUUUUAAAAUCUCUUAAGGGUCACUUCACAUCCACCUCAGUAGUUUUCUGACAGUUGAAUUAGGGCUCAAAUAAACAGGAAAACACAUAUUCCACAACAUUAUAAAUCAACUGUACUUCAAUAUAAAAAAAGAAAAAUACAUUCAAGUUAAAUUCAUGAUAACCUUAAAAAGCGAACAUAGGAAAAAUUCCCAUUGUGGUUCAGCAGGUUAAGAACCCAACUAGUAUCCAUAAGGAUGUGGGUUCAAUCCCUGGCCCCACUCAUUGGG